rnacentral:rRNA from 1 species
UAGGGAAUCUUCGGCAAUGGACGAAAGUCUGACCGAGCAACGCCGCGUGAGUGAAGAAGGUUUUCGGAUCGUAAAACUCUGUUGUUAGAGAAGAACAAGGACGCUAUUAACUGAACGUCUCCUGACGGUAUCUAACCAGAAAGCCACGGCUAACUACGUGCCAGCAGCCGCGGUAAUACGUAGGUGGCAAGCGUUGUCUGGAUUUAUUGGGCGUAAAGCGAGCGCCGGCGGUUUCUUAAGUCUGAUGUGAAAGCCCCCGACUCAACCGGGGAGGGUCAUUGGAAACUGCGAGACUUGAGUGCAGAAGGGGAGAAUGGAAUUCCAGGUGUAGAGAUAAAAUGCGUAGAUAUAUGAAGGAACGCCAGUGGAAAAGGCGGCUCUCUGGUCUGGACCUGACGCUGAGGCUGGAAAGCGUGGGGAGCAAACAGG